GUCUACGGCCAUGCCACCCUGAGCACACCUGAUCCCAUCUGAUCUUGGAAGCUAAGCAAGGUCAGACCUGGUUAGUACUUGGAUGGAAGACCAGGUGCUGUAGGCG
rnacentral:rRNA from 1 species